AUGGAAGUGAUGAUUUUUUCCCCAGAUGAUCGAAGCUGAACAUAACCGUGCGAUUUUUCUCAAAUUUUGAGAAACCAAGCCUAAUAAAUCUGAUCCAU